ACGCUCGACACCUACGGAGGCAGCAGUGGGGAAUAUUGCACAAUGGGGGAAACCCUGAUGCAGCGACGCCGCGUGAAGGAAGAAGUAUCUCGGUAUGUAAACUUCUAUCAAGCAGGGAAGAAAGUGACGGUACCUGACUAAGAAGCCCCGGCUAACUACGUGACAGCAGCCGCGGUAAUCUGAGCGGGCUGGCAAGGC
rnacentral:rRNA from 1 species